rnacentral:lncRNA from 1 species
ACCCAGAAGCCAAGACUUGGCCUGUCCUGGAGACUUUUGCCUCUUCCCACUCUCCUAAUAAAAAGCUAUUUUUGUGAGGAACAACUUAGAGAAGUCUCUCUCAUACAGUAGUGUUAAAACUGAACAUGCUCCUUUGAGUUUACACCAGAAAGCGAGGAGGAGUAAAGAAGCGGCAAGAUGUUGGAACUAGAGAAGAGUGGACAAGAAGAGGGUCAAUAAUAACUGGAAUAAACUACAGAACUGUCAGGAGUCACCUAUUGUGAGACCUGUGAGAAGUCAUCUGUUGUUCCAAGCUGCAGUUUUACUCAGUGGAAAAAAAGAAAAGAAAAAAAAGAAGUCAUUUUGCAAGAUGGCAUCGUUACUACUGAAAGUUUUCUUUUAAUUAAAAGUAACUGGCAGUGACUUCAAAGAAGGAUAAUUAUACACAGAACUAUCUGUCAGGAGAUCACUACUUAUUGGCA